UACAUGAAACAACACAUUCACACUCAACACACAACACAGCUACAUGAAACAACACAUUCACACUCAACACAGCUACAUGAAACAACACAUUCACACACAACACACAACACAGCUACAUGAAACAACACAUUCACACUCAACACAGCUACAUGAAACAACACAUUCACACUCAACAAGGUGUGCUAAAGGUUUUGGACCUUUCUGCUUGGUUGAAGAGACACAGAGGUGUUGGACCUUUCUGCUUGGUUGAAGAGAUACAGAGGUGUUGGACCUUUCUGCUUGGUUGAAGAGACACAGAGGUGUUGGACCUUUCUGCUUGGUUGAAGAGACACAGAGGUGUUGGACCUUUCUGCUUGGUUGAAGAGAUACAGAGGUGUUGGACCGUUCUGCUUGGUUGAAGAGACACAGAGGUGUUGGACCUUUCUGCUUGGUUGAAGAGAUACAGAGGUGUUGGACCGUUCUGCUUGGUUGAAGAGAUACAGAGGUGUUGGACCUUUCUGCUUGGUUGAAGAGUUACAGAGGUGUUGGACCGUUCUGCUUGGUUGAAGAGAUACAGAGGUGUUGGACCUUUCUGCUUGGUUGAAGAGAUACAGAGGUGUUGGACCUUUCUGCUUGGUUGAAGAGAUACAGAGGUGUUGGACCUUUCUGCUUGGUUGAAGAGAUACA